rnacentral:rRNA from 1 species
GAUGAACGCUGGCGGCGUGCUUAACACAUGCAAGUCGAACGAUGAAGCCCAGCUUGCUGGGUGGAUUAGUGGCGAACGGGUGAGUAACACGUGAGUAACUUGCCCUUAACUCUGGGAUAAGCCUGGGAAACUGGGUCUAAUACCGGAUAGGAGCGCCUACCGCAUGGUGGGUGUUGGAAAGAUUUAUCGGUUUUGGAUGGACUCGCGGCCUAUCAGCUUGUUGGUGAGGUAAUGGCUCACCAAGGCGACGACGGGUAGCCGGCCUGAGAGGGUGACCGGCCACACUGGGACUGAGACACGGCCCAGACUCCUACGGGAGGCAGCAGUGGGGAAUAUUGCACAAUGGGCGAAAGCCUGAUGCAGCGACGCCGCGUGAGGGAUGACGGCCUUCGGGUUGUAAACCUCUUUCAGUAGGGAAGAAGCGAAAGUGACGGUACCUGCAGAAGAAGCACCGGCUAACUACGUG